rnacentral:rRNA from 1 species
UACGAAGGGGGCUAGCGUUGCUCGGAAUCACUGGGCGUAAAGCGCACGUAGGCGGGUCUUUAAGUCAGGGGUGAAAUCCCGGAGCUCAACUCCGGAACUGCCUUUGAUACUGGAGAUCUUGAGUCCGGGAGAGGUGAGUGGAACUCCGAGUGUAGAGGUGAAAUUCGUAGAUAUUCGGAAGAACACCAGUGGCGAAGGCGGCUCACUGGCCCGAUACUGACGCUGAGGCACGAAAGCGUGGGGAGCAAACAGG